AGAGCGCAGGGCGGAUGCCUUGGCACCGUAAGCCGAUGAAGGACGUGACAAGCUGCGAAAAGCUGCGGAGAGGAGCAAAUAUCCAAUGAUCCGCAGAUAUCCGAAUGGGGAAACCUGGCCGGGGUAAAUGCCCGGUCGACCGUACAUGAAUUCAUAGUGUACGGCUGGGAACGACGUGAAUUGAAACAUCUUAGUAGCGUCAGGAAAAGAAAUCAAACGAGAUUCCGCUAGUAGUGGCGAGCGAAUGCGGAAGAGGCCAAACCGCAAAACUUCGGUUUUGCGGGGUUAAGGACCAUCGGAAGGGUGAAACUUGUUAGCAGAAUGAGCUGCUGGAAAGCAGAGUCCAAAGAGCGUAAAAGUCGCGUAUGCGAAAACGAGAGAAGCCCGGAUGGCACCAGAGUACCACGAGACACGAGAAACCUUGUGGGAAGUCGGGGGGACCACCCUCCAAGCCUAAACACUUACGGUGACCGAUAGUGAAGCAGUACUGUGAAGGAAAGGUGAAAAGAACCCCGGGAGGGGAGUGAAAGAGAACCUGAAACCCUGUGUUUACAAGCAGUCGAAGAGCGUUAAGGCUCGACGGCGUACUUUUUGUAGAACGGUCCGACGAGUUGCGGUAUGUGGCAAGGUUAAGCACUGGAGGUGCGGAGCCGAAGCGAAAGCGAGUUUUAAUAGAGCGAGAAGUCACAUGCUGCAGACCCGAAACCGGGUGACCUAUCCAUGAGCAGGUUGAAAGCGAGGUAAAACUCGCCGGAGGACCGAACUCGUAUCUGUUGAAAAAGGUUGAGAUGACUUGUGGAUAGCGGAGAAAUUCCAAUCGAACCCGGAGAUAGCUGGUUCUCCCCGAAAUAGCUUUAGGGCUAGCCUCGCAGAGAGUCUACCGGAGGUAGAGCACUGAAUGGUCUAGGGGCCUUACCAGGUUACCGAAACUUAUCAAACUCCAAAUGCCGGCAAGAUAGCUGCGGGAGUCAGUCCAUGACAGAUAAGUGCCAUGGACAAAAGGGAAACAGCCCAGACCGCCAGCUAAGGUCCCCAAAUGUUCGUUAAGUGGAAAAGGAUGUGGAUUUGCAAAAACAGCCAGGAUGUUGGCUCAGAAGCAGCCACUCAUUUAAAGAGUGCGUAACAGCUCACUGGUCGAGUGAGUCUGCGCCGAAGAUAUACGGGGCUAAACGAACUACCGAAGCUGCGGAAUUCCAAUGGGAUUGGUAGGGGAGCGUACCCCAGGGAGCAGAAGCACGAUCGAAAGGACGUGUGGAUCCAAGGGUAGUGAGAAUGUCGGAAUAAGUAACGAGAGCAAGGUGAGAAUCCUUGCCGUCGAAAAUCCAAGGUUUCCUGGGGAAGGUUCGUCCGCCCAGGGUAAGUCGGGACCUAAGGUCAGGCCUAAAGGCGUAGCCGAUGGAGAACAGGUUGAAAAUCCUGUACCGCCGGUUCAUGUUUGACAGAAGCAGGGACGCAGGAGGAUAACUGGAGCACGCGACAGGAAGAGCGUGUCUAAGCAGAGUAGCGGUCUGGUAGUAAAGCACGCCAGGCAACGCGAAGCUGUGAUGGGGAGGGAAAAUUCCAAAGUACCGAAGCCAGUCAUUCCACACUGACGAGAAAAGCUGCUAUGGAGUGGACAGGCGCCCGUACCGCAAACCGACACAGGUAGAUGAGGAGAGAAUCCUAAGACGAGCGGGCUAAGCAUUGUUAAGGAACUCGGCAAAUUAACCCCGUAAGUUCGCAAGAAGGGGCGCCUGCUGAAAGGCAGGCCGCAGUGAAAUGACGGCGGCCGUAACUAUAACGGUCCUAAGGUAGCGAAAUUCCUUGUCAGGUAAGUUCUGACCCGCACGAAUGGCGUAAUGACUUGGGCACUGUCUCAACAAUGCACCCGGUGAAAUUGUAGUACUUGUGAAGAUGCAAGUUACCCGCGAUGGGACGGAAAGACCCCAUGGAGCUUCACUGUAGAUUGUUACUGGGACUCGGUAUUGUCUGUACAGGAUAGGUGGGAGACGGAGAAGCAUCGGCGUCAGUUGAUGUGGAGUCAACCUUGGAAUACCACUCUGACAGUACUGAUUCUCUAACCAGAGUCCGUAAGCCGGACAUGGGACAAUGGCAGUCGGGCAGUUUGACUGGGGCGGUCGCCUCCUAAAAAGUAACGGAGGCGUUCAAAGGUCACCUCAGCACGGUCGGAAAUCGUGCAUCGAGUGCAAAGGCAUAAGGUGGCUUAACUGCGAGACCCACAAGUCGAGCAGAUGCGAAAGCAGGACUUAGUGAUCCGGCGGUAGAAAGUGGAAUUGCCGUCGCUCAACGGACAAAAGUUACCCUGGGGAUAACAGGCUUAUUCCCCCCAAGAGUUCACAUCGACGGGGGAGUUUGGCACCUCGAUGUCGGCUCAUCACAUCCUGGGGCUGUAGCAGGUCCCAAGGGUUCGGCUGUUCGCCGAUUAAAGUGGUACGCGAGCUGGGUUCAGAACGUCGUGAGACAGUUCGGUCCCUAUCUAUCGUGGGCGCAGGAAAUUUGCGAGGAGCUGUCCCUAGUACGAGAGGACCGGGAUGGACAAACCUAUGGUGAACCGGUUGUCACGCCAGUGGCACCGCCGGGUAGCUAAGUUUGGCUGGGAUAAACGCUGAAAGCAUCUAAGUGUGAAGCCCCCCUCAAGAUGAGAUUUCCCCACGUAAGUGAUAAGACCCCUUCAAGACCAGGAGGUUGA
rnacentral:rRNA from 1 species